UCCUGCCCGCGGCUCCCGCCGCGCCUCCGCCCCUGCCUGCCACAAAAUGGAGGACGGCGGCGGCAGCCUCCUCCCUCCUCCCCCCCCGCUGUGGAGAGGGAGCGGCGGCGGCCGGAGGAGGAGGCGGAGGCAGCGCCGGGCUGGGCUCGGGCAGCGGCCGGGGCCGGGGCGGGGGCACGGUGCAACCUGUUGGCUGAGGAGGGCAACUGCAGGCCGCUUCCCGGCUCUUCCCGUCACUUCUCCGGGCUUCCCCCGCUCAGCCUGAGGGCAGCGGGGCGGCCCUUCGCUGCGGCCCGGCUCAGCCCUUCUCGCCCCCGCACGCAGCUCCUGCCUGGGCUCUUGUCCCGACCCUGCCACCUGCUCUCCAGUCCCUGUCGCCAUCCCCCUGCCCCUCACGUUUCCGCCCUCUUUGCUGCCGUGUCCACGCUGAGGAGGAGGAAGUUGAUCACCAGAAUUAAACUUCCUACAGCCCAGAACACACCGAACAGAUCCAGACCGUGCCAUGACAAGAAAUGCAAAACCUGCCAACACAUCCCCACCACCCCCACAAUUACUACGCCCCACAACAGAGCCGUCAGCAUCCCUGCAUCUUACAGCUGCACCUCCGGAAAUGUAAUACAUCUCAUCCAAUGCACCAAAUGCCCUGAUGGAAAAUACGUAGGAGAGACCAAACAACAACUGCGCACCAGAAUGAACGUACACUGGAAAUUUAUUAAAAACAAAAAUACCCAAUUACCGGUGGGGGCACAUUUCUCACAAGAAAACCACCCUAUCUCCAAUCUCUCAGUUCUAAUCCUCCGAGGGAACUUACAAAACACUCCUCAGAGACGAGCCUAUGAACUCCACUUCAUCAACCUCCUGGAUACAAAAAAUCAUGGACUAAAUUUAGACGUUGGAUUUAUGAUACAGUAUAACCUGCCUGACAUCUGACUCCCCAGGUACUUCUCCACUAUUUAGCUGCUACAUUCAUCCACCUUCCCCCCUGCCCCAGCCCUGUCUCUCACCUACUGACUCCUCCAUUUACAUCUUCACUGACUGCCUGUCUUGCUGCAGCCCAGCCUCUGGCCUCUUUACUAUUCCUUCCAUCCAGCAAGAGCACACAUCAACUGCAGAGACUUCCUUUGCCUGACGAAGGGUUUUUAAACCCGAAAACUUGCUUAAAUGUUUUUCCCCAACUAUUUAAGUUGGUCUAAUAAAAGAUAUCAGAUUCA